GAUGAACGCUGGCGGCAUGCCUUACACAUGCAAGUCGGACGGGAAGAGGUGUUUCCAGUGGUCGUUGGGGGAGUAACGCGUAAGAACCUGCCCUUGGGAGGGGAACAACAGCUGGAAACGGCUGCUAAUACGCCGUAGUCUGUGGAGCGACAGGAGGAAUCCGCCCCAGGAGGGGCUCGCUUCUGGUCACUUAGCUGGUGAGGUAAUGGGUUACCAAGGCCGUGAUCAGUAGCUGGUCCGAGAGGAUGAUCAGCCACACUGGAACUGAGACAAGGCCCAGACUGCUACUGGAGGCAGCAGUGGGGAAUAUUGGACAAUGGGCGUAAGCAUGAUUCAGCAAUGCCGGGUGGCUGAAGAAGGCAUUCGGGUUGUAAAGUAAUUGGCCUGGGGAUGAAGAGCUUCAUGUUCAUACGAAGAAACAAUGACGGUACCUGGAGAAUAAGCAUCGGCUAACUCCGUG
rnacentral:rRNA from 1 species